rnacentral:rRNA from 1 species
UACAGAGGGUGCAAGCGUUAAUCGGAAUUACUGGGCGUAAAGCGCGCGUAGGCGGUCAGGUAAGUCGAUUGUGAAAUCCCCGGGCUUAACCUGGGAAUUGCAGUCGAUACUGCCUGGCUAGAGUGUGGAAGAGGGAAGCGGAAUUUCCGGUGUAGCGGUGAAAUGCGUAGAUAUCGGAAGGAACACCAGUGGCGAAGGCGGCUUCCUGGUCCAACACUGACGCUGAGGCGCGAAAGCGUGGGUAGCGAAC